rfam:Oryza barthii chromosome 2, whole genome shotgun sequence.
AAAAAAAAUAAACACUGGUUUCCGUGUCCAACGUUUUACCGUCCGUCUUAUUUAAAAAUAUUAUGAAAAAAAUUAAAAAGAUAAGUCACGUAUAAAGUAUUAAUUAUGUUUUAUCAUCUAACAACAAUGAAAAUACUAAUUAUAAAAAAAAAUUCGGACAGUCAAACGUUGGCACGGAAAUUCAGGGUUUGUCUUUUU